rnacentral:rRNA from 1 species
UAAUACAUGCAAGUCGAGCGGACCGACGGGAGCUUGCUCCCUUAGGUCAGCGGCGGACGGGUGAGUAACACGUGGGUAACCUGCCUGUAAGACUGGGAUAACUCCGGGAAACCGGGGCUAAUACCGGAUGCUUGAUUGAACCGCAUGGUUCCAAUCAUAAAAGGUGGCUUUCAGCUACCACUUACUGAUGGACCCGCGGCGCAUUAGCUAGUUGGUGAGGUAACGGCUCACCAAGGCGACGAUGCGUAGCCGACCUGAGAGGGUGAUCGGCCACACUGGGACUGAGACACGGCCCAGACUCCUACGGGAGGCAGCAGUAGGGAAUCUUCCGCAAUGGACGAAAGUCUGACGGAGCAACGCCGCGUGAGUGAUGAAGGUUUUCGGAUCGUAAAACUCUGUUGUUAGGGAAGAACAAGUACCGUUCGAAUAGGGCGGCACCUUGACGGUACCUAACCAGAAAGCCACGGCUAACUACGUGCCAGCAGCCGCGGUAAUACGUAGGUGGCAAGCGUUGUCCGGAAUUAUUGGGCGUAAAGCGCGCGCAGGCGGUUUCUUAAGUCUGAUGUGAAGCCCCCGGCUCAACCGGGGAGGGUCAUUGGAAACUGGGGAACUUGAGUGCAGAAGAGGAGAGUGGAAUUCCACGUGUAGCGGUGAAAUGCGUAGAGACGUGGAGGACACCAGUGGCGAAGG